AUUGAACGCUGGCGGCAUGCCUUACACAUGCAAGUCGAACGGCAGCACGGGAGCAAUCCUGGUGGCGAGUGGCGAACGGGUGAGUAAUAUAUCGGAACGUGCCCAGUCGUGGGGAUAACGUAGCGAAAGCUACGCUAAUACCGCAUACGAUCUAUGGAUGAAAGCGGGGGAUCGCAAGACCUCGCGCGAUUGGAGCGGCCGAUAUCAGAUUAGGUAGUUGGUGAGGUAAAGGCUCACCAAGCCGACGAUCUGUAGCUGGUCUGAGAGGACGACCAGCCACACUGGGACUGAGACACGGCCCAGACUCCUACGGGAGGCAGCAGUGGGGAAUUUUGGACAAUGGGCGCAAGCCUGAUCCAGCAAUGCCGCGUGCAGGAUGAAGGCCUUCGGGUUGUAACUGCUUUGUACGGAACGAAACGGUGAGCUCUAAUACAGUUUGCUAAUGACGGUACCGUAAGAAUAAG
rnacentral:rRNA from 1 species